rnacentral:lncRNA from 1 species
GGACUGCAAGAAAAUUCUUUUUGGUCUACUGACAUCCCUGUUUAAUUAAUAAGUGCUGUCACACAUUCAGCAAGCACGCAUAUCGCUCUUGGUCUUGGUAAGAGCCACUCUCUUUUCCAGUGCUGUGAGUCAUUCAGUCUUCACAAGGUUUUGUCCUCUUCACCAGUCACAAAAAAAUAUUUGUUUGGAAUUUGGUAAACUGAAGUGGAAGUGUCCUCGCCGCUGAGAAUUUACACUGGGACCAGAAUGAUGCCUGCUCUUCCCUCACACAAGGAUGCAGAGCCUAUCGAAGGAAGGGAAUUACAAAAUGACAAGGGCAAACUCUCUCCUGACUUAAUAAUGAGGGGAAAAAACACAGUUUGCACUCUUCCUCCUGUUUGGCAGAAAGCUUUUC